rnacentral:rRNA from 1 species
GACGAACGCUGGCGGCGUGCUUAACACAUGCAAGUCGAACGGAAAGGCCCCUUUUGGGGUACUCGAGUGGCGCACGGGUGCGUAACACGUGAGUAACCUGCCCUUGACUUCGGGAUAACUUCAGGAAACUGGGGCUAAUACCGGAUAGGAAUCCUUGCUGCAUGGUGGGGGUUGGAAAGCUUCGGCGGUUUUGGAUGGACUCGCGGCUUAUCAGCUUGUUGGUGGGGUAGUGGCUUACCAAGGCUUUGACGGGUAGCCGGCCUGAGAGAGCGACCGGCCACAUUGGGACUGAGAGACGGCCCAGAUACCUACGGGAGGCAGCAGUGGGGAAUAUUGCACAAUGGGCGCAAGGCUGAUGCAGCAAGGCCGCGUGCGGGAAGACGGCCUUCGGGUUGUAAACCGCUUUCAGCAGGGGCGAUGCUUGUGGUGACGGUACCUGCAGAAGAAGCACCGGCUAACUACGUG